CCUUCCGUAGGGGAACCUGCGGAAGGAUCAUUACCGAGUUGAUUCGAGCUCCGGCUCGACUCUCCCACCCAAUGUGUACCUACCUCUGUUGCUUUGGCGGGCCGCGGUCCUCCGCACCGGCGCCCUUCGGGGGGCUGGCCAGCGCCCGCCAGAGGACCAUAAAACUCCAGUCAGUGAACUUCGCAGUCUGAAAAACAAGUUAAUAAACUAAAACUUUCAACAACGGAUCUCUUGGUUCUGGCAUCGAUGAAGAACGCAGCGAAAUGCGAUAAGUAAUGUGAAUUGCAGAAUUCAGUGAAUCAUCGAAUCUUUGAACGCACAUUGCGCCCCUUGGUAUUCCGAGGGGCAUGCCUGUUCGAGCGUCAUUUCAACCCUCAAGCUCUGCUUGGUAUUGGGCUCCGUCCUCCACGGACGCGCCUUAAAGACCUCGGCGGUGGCGUCUUGCCUCAAGCGUAGUAGAAAACACCUCGCUUUGGAGCGCACGGCGUCGCCCGCCGGACGAACCUUUGAAUUACUUCUCAAGGUUGACCUCGGAUCAGGUAGGGAUACCCGCUGAACUUAAGCAUAUCAAUA
rnacentral:rRNA from 1 species